UUGGGGGCGGUGAUGUUGAAAAACUACCUAUUUUCUGAGGGAAAUUUUUUCCCUUAUGAUUAGGAAUAACCAAUGGAUCCUUCUGAGCCCUCA